AUGGACGACGGGGACAUCGACUUCUCCAACCCGGAGACGUUCCUGUGCGAGGCCAUGGGCAACGACCCGCCGGCCAGCUGCUCCAUGGGGACCUACUUCGACGACAUCCUCAACGGCGACACCGACCACCUCGCCUGCACCCACACCCACACCUGCAACCCGCCCGUGCACGACCUCGCGCACCACACCCACACCUGCGUCCACGUCCACACCAAGAUCCUCUCCGCCUCCGACGACGCCGCCGAGACCUCCGAGUCGCUGCCGGAGAGCAAGAAGCAGCGCCCCUCCGGUAACCGCGCGGCCGUCAGGAAGUACCGCGAGAAGAAGAAGGCCCACACCGCGCUGCUCGAGGAGGAGGUGGCUCACCUCAAGGCUGUCAACCAGCAGCUCGUCAAGAAGCUCCAGAGCCACUCCGCGCUCGAGGCCGAGGUCGCCAGGCUCCGCUGCCUGCUUGUUGACAUCAGAGGGAGGAUCGAGGGGGAGAUUGGCACCUUCCCUUACCAGCGGACGGUCAAAAGCAACGAUUUUGUCGACCAGGGGAGCUUUCUCGGUGGUGCCCAGGUUAUGAAUUCCUGCGGUUUCAGAUGCAACGAUCAGCUGUACUGCAAUCCAGGAAUGCAGCAGGCCAGAACUAUGGACGACGAUGGUGUUAUGAGUGGCCAGGUUUUGGGGCAAGGUGCUGGUGACUCUAUGGGCUGUGUAAAACCAGGUUCUUUAAACCCCCCAGGCUGCCGUGGGGGCCAAAUGCUGUAA
rnacentral:rRNA from 1 species